UGCAAUAGCGGCGGCCACUUCCAUCUGA
rnacentral:sRNA from 1 species